AUUGAACGCUGGCGGCAGGCCUAACACAUGCAAGUCGAGCGGAUGAAGGGAGCUUGCUCCUGGAUUCAGCGGCGGACGGGUGAGUAAUGCCUAUGAAUCUGCCUGGUAUUGGGGUAUAACGUCCGGAAACGGGCGCUAAUACCGCAUACGUCCUGAGGGAGCAAGUGGGUGAUCUUCGGACCUCACGCUAUCAGAUGAGCCUAGGUCGGGUUAGCUAGUUGGUGGGGUAAAGGCCUACCAAGGCGACGAUCCGUAACUGGUCUGCGAGAAUGAUCAGUCACACUGGAGCUGAGACACGGUCCAGACUCCUACGGGAGGCAGCAGUGGGGAAUAUUGGACAAUGGGCGAGAGCCUGAUCCAGCCAUGCCGCGUGUGUGAAGAAGGUCUUCGGAUUGUAAAGCACUUUAAGUUGGGAGGAAGGGCAGUAAGUUAAUACCUUGCUGUUUUGACGUUACCAACAGAAUAAGCACCGGCUAACUUCGUG
rnacentral:rRNA from 1 species